rnacentral:tRNA from 1 species
GCCUGGGUGGCUCAGUCGGUUGAGCGUCUGACUUCGGCUCAGGUCAUGAUCUCACGGUCUGUGGGUUCGAGCCCCACGUCGGGCU